GAGUUUGAUCCUGGCUCAGAUUGAACGCUGGCGGCAGGCCUAACACAUGCAAGUCGAGCGGUAGAGAGAAGCUUGCUUCUCUUGAGAGCGGCGGACGGGUGAGUAAUGCCUAGGAAUCUGCCUGGUAGUGGGGGAUAACGCUCGGAAACGGACGCUAAUACCGCAUACGUCCUACGGGAGAAAGCAGGGGACCUUCGGGCCUUGCGCUAUCAGAUGAGCCUAGGUCGGAUUAGCUAGUUGGUGAGGUAAUGGCUCACCAAGGCGACGAUCCGUAACUGGUCUGAGAGGAUGAUCAGUCACACUGGAACUGAGACACGGUCCAGACUCCUACGGGAGGCAGCAGUGGGGAAUAUUGGACAAAUGGGCGAAAGCCUGAUCCAGCCAUGCCGCGUGUGUGAAGAAGGUCUUCGGAUUGUAAAGACACUUUAAGUUGGGAGGAAGGGCAGUAAAUUAAUACUUUGCUGUUUGACGUUACCGACAGAAUAAGCACCGGCUAACUCUGU
rnacentral:rRNA from 1 species